rnacentral:rRNA from 1 species
GACAGAGGGUGCAAACGUUGUUCGGAAUUACUGGGCGUAAAGCGAGUGUAGGCGGUUCGGUAAGUCGGAUGUGAAAGCCCCGGGCUCAACCCGGGAAGUGCACUCGAUACUGCCGAGCUAGAGUGUCGGAGAGGUUGGUGGAAUUCUCGGUGUAGAGGUGAAAUUCGUAGAUAUCAAGAGGAACACCUGCGGCGAAGGCGGGUUGCUGGGCCGACACUGACGCUGAGGCGCGAAAGCUAGGGGAGCGAACGGG